rnacentral:rRNA from 1 species
AACGAACGCUGGCGGCAUGCCUAACACAUGCAAGUCGAACGAAGUCUUCGGACUUAGUGGCGCACGGGUGCGUAACGCGUGGGAAUCUGCCCUUGGGUACGGAAUAACUCAGAGAAAUUUGUGCUAAUACCGUAUAAUGUCCUCGGACCAAAGAUUUAUCGCCCAAGGAUGAGCCCGCGUAAGAUUAGCUAGUUGGUGGGGUAAAAGCCUACCAAGGCGACGAUCUUUAGCUGGUCUGAGAGGAUGAUCAGCGACACUGGGACUGAGACACGGCCCAGACUCCUACGGGAGGCAGCAGUGGGGAAUAUUGGAAAAUGGGCGGAGGGCUGAUCCAGCAAUGCCGCGUGAGUGAUGAAGGCCCUAGGGUUGUAAAGCUCGUUUACCAGGGAUGAUAAUGACAGUACCUGGAGAAUAAGCACCGGCUAACUCCGUG